rnacentral:rRNA from 1 species
UACGUAGGGCGCAAGCGUUGUCCGGAAUUAUUGGGCGUAAAGAGCUCGUAGGUGGCUUGUCGCGUCUGCCGUGAAAGCCCAUGGCUUAACUGUGGGUCUGCGGUGGAUACGGGCUGGCUAGAGGUAGGUAGGGCAAGCGGAAUUCCUGGUGUAGCGGUGAAAUGCGCAGAUAUCAGGAGGAACACCGGUGGCGAAGGCGGCUUGCUGGGCCUUACCUGACGCUGAGGAGCGAAAGCGUGGGGAGCGAACAGG